rnacentral:snRNA from 1 species
GGGUGAUCUGCUGCGACAUUGGUCACCCCAUUGAUCACCAAAGUUGAUUUGGCUGAUCUGGCUGGAAGAGGAUGACCAUCACCGAUAAAGGACCGAUCUUCAAGGGUAUACGAGUAGCUGUGCUCCCCAGCUAGAACCUCCAAAUAAGCUCUCGAGUAUGAGCCACUACAUCUGGUCUAAAAGGUGCACCUUGGGCCAGUACUGGUGUUUCAU